rnacentral:rRNA from 1 species
UACGGGGGGGGCAAGCGUUGUUCGGAAUUACUGGGCGUAAAGGGCUCGUAGGCGGACAGGUAAGUCAGUGGUGAAAUCUCUGGGCUUAACCCAGAAACUGCCGUUGAUACUAUUUGUCUUGAAUAUCCUGGAGGUAGGCGGAAUAUGUCAUGUAGCGGUGAAAUGCUUAGAUAUGACAUAGAACACCGAUAGCGAAGGCAGCUUACUACAGGAUGAUUGACGCUGAGGCACGAAAGCGUGGGGAGCAAACAGG